rnacentral:lncRNA from 1 species
UGUUAGUGGUGAGAGCUACAAAGAAAGAUUGAAUCCUUCAAGUUGAUGAAUUGAUUUCAUUAGCUUACCAAAAGAAGUAAACAAAAACACUCUGACAAUUAAAACCAAACCUAAACCUAUACACAUAACAACAAACAUGUCAGUGGCGUGCAAAAGAAACAAAUAUAAACCGUCCUCUGCAGUAUAUUACCAAAUUUCUGGACAAACAGAUACAACUCAAAAUAAGAGCAUCCUCCAUUCUUUUGCAAGACAUCAAAUAGUAUAUAAAAUAGGAAUAACUAGAAAAUGUAACAUUCCUCGACGGAACUAAAAAUUCCAAAUCUGCAAAUAACCGGAUUCCGUCUCACUGUUUAAAGUUAUGAAAAAAUUCAUCUAGGUACAUUGUAAUAAUAAGCCGCUAAAUGGAAACAUCGGUUGAAGAGAAUAUCAAUGUCGGGUGAUAACUUUAGUGGCUCAAUAGACCAAUCUUAAUUUAUCAAAAAAUGUUACGAACUAUUAUCUUACUAAUAACGAUAGAUGAUAAUUUACAGUAAAUUCCUAAGAUUUUCCUUUAUAAUUAGGUUAUUCAAGAUUUAUCAAUUCUGCUUUUUCUCGCCUCCAUUUCUCCUUUCACCCCAUCCCGGCAACAUUAAGUUUUUACUCAGUCGUGAAAUUUACGCCCUCGGAAUAGGCAUUACACCCCUUGUGUAUUUUAAAACAGAAAUAUUAUACUUUUUUACUUAAUUUUGGAAUUAUUUUCACACGUCAACGAUCGAGUUCAACUAUGUGAAUAAUGUUUGUAAUCAAAAGCGUAUAGCCACACUACUGAGGGAGGGCAAGAGCGCCGGCGCGAAGGCGGAGACAAGGCGGCACCGGAGGGGGGGGCCGGGCGGCGGCAGAGAGGCGCGGAGAGCGAGAACCCCAAGGCCAACAGAGGAAGAACAGGGCAAAGAAGCCAGCCGAGAAGCCAAGACCACCCCACAAAAGCCGGACGAAACACAGAACAACGCGGAGGAACGCCGACACCACCCCGAAUAAACACCAAAAAAAAAAAAAAAAAAAA